rnacentral:rRNA from 1 species
UGUGAACUGCAGGACACAUGAACACCGAUAAGUUGAACGCAUAUUGCGCAUCUGUGAACUGCAGGACACAUGAACACCGAUAAGUUGAACGC